CCGCUCCGCAGCGCAGCGCAUGGAGCCCGGCGGGGACCACCGGAGCCGGAGCAGCGGCGGCAGGGGCGGCCCCGGGCCAGCAGUGGCCUCGGCACGGGGCCGACGGCUGCCGCCCGCCGGAUCGAGCGGCAGCGCGGAGCCAGAGGAAGACGAAGGCGGGCAAGAUCUUCAGCUGGAAGGGGGUGCCUUGGGGUCCUGGGGGAGUGCCCCCCUGCCCUCCUCCAGGGCCAGGGGACCAGCAUCUUCAGGCAGGAAAUAUUCAGACCACUGUGAGGCCCGGGCCUCGAGGCCUGGAAAGAGCCGCAUCCCUGGCCGUGACCACCGGCGCUACUACCACGACCACUGGCGGCUGGAGUACCUGAUGGACUUCAACCCUGCCCGGCACGGCAUGGUGUGCAUGGUGUGCGGCAGCUCCCUGGCCACCCUCAAGCUCAGCACCAUCAAGCGCCACAUCCGCCAAAAGCACCCCUACUCCUUGCAUUGGAGUCCCCGGGAGAAGGAAGUCAUCAGCAACAGCUGGGAUGCACACCUGGGGCUGGGGGCCUGCGGAGAGGCCGAGGGCCUGGGGGUCCAGGGGGCUGAGGAGGAGGAGGAGGAGGAAGAAGAGGAGGAGGAGGAGGGGGCCGGUGUCCCAGCUUGCCCGCCCAAGGGCCCAGGCAAAGCCCCAGCUGGUGGGGGCUGCCGGCGCCAGCGGCGAGGGGGCCCAGUGGCACCCCGGGCUCGGCGUCUGCGCCUCUCAGCCUCCCGGAGGGCCGGGGGCAGCAGGGGGCUGGGGGCCCGGCGCCUGGAGAGGAGGCUGAAGGAGUCCCUGCAGAACUGGUUCCGGGCCGAGUGUCUCAUGGACUAUGACCCGCGGGGGAACCGGCUGGUGUGCAUGGCCUGUGGCCGGGCACUGCCCAGCCUGCACCUGGACGACAUCCGUGCCCACGUGCUGGAGGUGCACCCUGGCUCCCUGGGGCUCAGCGGCCCCCAGCGCAGUGCCCUGCUGCAGGCCUGGGGGGGCCAGCCCGAGGCGCUGUCUGAGCUCACCCAGUCCCCACCAGGCGAUGACCUCGCCCCCCAGGACCUGACCGGAAAGAGCCGGGACUCGGCCUCCGCUGCUGGAGCCCCCUCCUCUCAGGAUCUCAGCCCCCCAGACGUAAAGGAAGAGGCUGGCUGGGUCCCUGAGAGGCCCGGGCCCGCAGAGGAGGAGGAGGAGCUGGAGGAGGGCGAGGGCGAGAGGGCGGGGGUCCCGGGCCGGUCGCCGCGGGGCCGCGCCCACCGCCGCCACCCCCAGGAGCGCUGGCGGCUGGAGUACCUCAUGGAGUUGGACGGCGGCCGGCGCGGCCUGGUGUGCGGGGUGUGCGGGGGCGCGCUGGCCUCGCUCAAGAUGAGCACCAUCGAGCGCCACAUCCGCCGGCGCCACCCGGGCUCCACGCGCCUCGGCGGGCCUGUCCAGGCCCUCAUCGCCCGGGAGUGGAGCGAGAAGGCCGCCCACCUGCUGGCCCUGGGGCCGCCCCGCCCCGAGUCCCCCCAGGGCCCCAUCCCCCCCGGCACUGCCGCAGCCUCCGACGAGGGGGGAGGGGACGAGGAGGAGGAGCCAGAGGAGGAGGAGGAGGAGUGGGGCGACGUUCCGCUGUCCCCUGGAGCUCCCUUGGAGCGGCCCGCCGAAGAAGAGGAGGACGAAGAGGACGGCCAGGAGCCUGGGGGACUCGCCUUGCCGCCGCCGCCUCCUCCCCCGCCUCCGCCCCCGCCCCGCAGCCGGGAGCAGCGGCGGAACUACCAGCCGCGGUGGCGGGGCGAGUACCUGAUGGACUACGACGGCAGCCGGCGCGGCCUGGUGUGUAUGGUGUGCGGGGGCGCGCUGGCCACGCUCAAGGUGAGCACCAUCAAGCGCCACAUCCUGCAGGUGCACCCCUUCUCCAUGGACUUCACGCCUGAGGAGCGCCAGACUAUCCUGGAGGCCUACGAGGAGGCGGCGCUGCGCUGCUACGGCCACGAGGGCUUCGGGCCGCCCGCCCCGGCGCCGCGUGACGGCGGCGCGGACCUCAAGUCUGGCGCUGUGUGUCGGGCGUAGCGGCCUAGCGGGCCCCCGGGUCAGGUCGGGUCGGGUCGGAUCGGCCCCGCCCCGCCCUGUGCUCGCCCGGCCCUUCGGCUGGGAGACCCUCGCGUCCGGUGUUAGCGCUUCCCGCGGCCGCGCCCCCCGCUGGCCGGGCCGGGCGGAGACGGGGGAUCGGGUGGGGCCACCGGCGUCUGCGCGGUGCCACUUGGGUCCCUGAGCCAGUCGGUGCGCUGCGGGAAGCGCACUCUCCCAUCGGCCCGGAGCCCUGCCCUCCCCGCGCAGGGCCCACGUUUUCCGAGAAUCCUCAGUGGCCUCCACGUGUUAGCGCCGAGCGCUCCCGGCCGCACCCCGCGAGGGGGUUCUCCGCAGGCCGGGACUGGGGGCGCCGUCAGUCAGUAUUAGGGCCGAAGGGGGGCCGUGCGGGCUCUGGCUCUGGCCCUGGCUGGGGGCCCAGUUCCCUGCAGCCUUGCACGCUGGCAGGCACGGCUCCCGGCUUGGGGGCUGCUGGCUGCCCUUCCCUAAUUGGGAUUCUCGGCCUCUCGGAGGCCCCGGCUGCGGACUGGGGCUUCCAGCGGGAGGCUGGGCCGCAGGGCUCGGGAGCCUUCCCGGGGUGGGAAGGCGCGUUGGACCGAGGGCGGGGCUACGCGCCCGGGGCCCGGGCUGGACCAGCUGCGCUUACCUCCCCGGCAGGCUCAGUGAGAACCGUGCGCCCGGCGGCCCCACUCUCCUCCCAGGCCGCUGCCACGCCCUCCAGGAAAGCUCUUGUAAAGGGAUUAGCACUUUUUUCCUUUGCUCCUCUUGCCCCGAGGGUCUCUGCUUACCCCUAAACCAAGUCCGUGGGAGCCCGGGGCACAGGCGGUCCCGGCAGUCAGCCUUCGAUUCCCGCCCCAUCCCCAUCCCCCUUUGUCCGCGGUGGAUGCGGCGUCCGUUCUCAACCCGCAGGGCCUGGGGCCGGGCCUCGGCCUCUUUUCCCCGUGGCAGCCGCAGGCCCUGUGUGGCAGGGAUGGGGCCCCGCGAUCUCCCAGGCAGGUCCGAGAGGGAUGUGUAGAUUCAUUCUCCUGUGGAGAACAGGUGGCCCCGAGAUCAGGCCCUUUUUUGCUCUUUGUAUUUUAUUUUGAAACUGUAUUUAAUGCUUUUAUAUGAAAGGGGGAGGGGCGGGGACAGAGCUGACCCAGUCACCCUUAUGUGCAAAUGUCUUAUUUAUUAUGCGUGUAUCAGAGAUAAGCUGUGAGGUGGUGGAGGGAGGACCUGAAGGAAGGAGGAGCGAGGGCAGAGGCGGGGACGGGAGGACCCCAACUAGCUGUGCUGAUGUUAAUCCCGCUGGGAGACUCCGGGCCCUACUGUCUGCUCUUCACAAAGCCAGGCUGCUGCAGGAACAGUUCCCGCGGUCCUAAAGCCGGGGCGGGGAGGCUAGUGGGUGGAACUUGAGGGUUGGGUCUGGAGGAAGAGAUGCCUGGGCAGCGUGGUCCAGCCCCUGCCUCGGGGUGGAAAGGCAGAGAGCAAAGAGGAGGCCCCUCUUAUUCCGGACCCCCAGGCCAGAGCCCAGGAGUGGGAAAGCAGAGGGCAAAGAGGAGGCCCCUCCUCUCAUCCCUGACCCCCAGGCCAGAGCCUAAGGUUCAAGUGCCUCAGGCCCAGUCCCCUUGACGCUUCCUGUUUGGGAGUUGGAUUUUAUACCACGGAUUUUAUAGCAUUUUUAUAUAAUUGAGGAUUGUCAGAAUUGGAAAGGGCCCUGGAGAUCACUAGUACUACCCUCCUCACCUUCACAGAUAGGUAAAUUGGAGCCCAGGAACCGAGAUGAUCACACAGCCAGGUAGGGACAGUACAAGAACUAGAAUGAAAAUCCUAGCUCCUGACUCAGUGUUCUUUGCACGAUGCCACACUGCUUCCCAAUUCGCUGGUCAGUUAUUAAAAUUUGUCAGGCCUGCCGAAGGAUUGACAUGCUGGGCAAUGCAGGCCACCACGGUGGAUCUGUGACUCCUGAAGGUGGCAAAGCCCUGCACACUGCCUUGGGAUGAGCACACUGAGCUCUGCAGGGCCUCAGCUGGAAGGCGCCAUCCAAUCGUCCUUCCCCUCCCCAGCAGAACUCCAGAGGUGGGGCGGCUGCCGCAGGGCCCAAGGCUGCCUCGGCAGGGGGCUUUGUGCUUUUUGUUGUGGAGGCCACCAGGGAUUCAGGAAGAUCCUGAAUGGGUUGUCAAUUGACUGAAAAGUAAAUUCCCAGUGAGUUUGAACCUCCACGGUUUUUGAGACAGUAUUAAAAGCUUGAGAACGGAGAUUAUGGAUGGCACCAGGCUGGGCACUGCCAUUCUUUUACUUUCCUUCAUGCAUUUUUUCGGAUCCAGAGUAUUAACACCACUUUUUUUACUCUGCCCAUUCAAAAACAGUAGGCAAAUUGGGGGAACCAAUUUAUAAUCACUCAAGCCCACUGCCAAAGUUCGGAUAAGCCAGGGCAGAGGGGUUAGAUUCCCCCCCCUCCGUAGGCAGAGAGAGGCCUCAGGAGAGUGGACAUCUUUACUGAGACAGCCCCAAACACACCAGUGGCUCUCAAAGUGUGUCCCUGAGACCAGCAGCAUCACCUUAGGAAUCUGCUAGAAAUAAAAAUUCUUGGGCCAUACCCCAGGGUUACUGAAUCAGAAACUUGGUUGGGGCCUAGCAGUGUUUUCAUGAGCCCUCCAUUGAUCUUGAUGCAGCUGAAGUGCCGGGCACCAGUGAAAGGGAAGGGCUGCGGUAGUGAUUCCAUUGAUUCCUGCUUUGAUGGAAGUUAUGGCCUCACAGGUUAGACGUUGCAAGUUGAGUUGGCCCUCUUGCCUAGGUGUGCCUCCUUGCCUUGGGAUUCUGACAUGAACAGGUGAAGUCUCUUCAUGAUUUUUUUUGUUGUUGUUGUUAAUGGUAUGCUUGCUAUUAUGGCCAAUAUGUAAAUGUUACUCUGAAUACAUAUUUAUAUACCAUGUUACUUAGUGACAUUAUUCAAACAUUUGUAUGCGUAUUUGUGAAAUUGUUUGCAUCAGUCAUUUAAAAAAUAUUUCAGCCUAAGUUUUCUAAGAGGUAUGUUGAAUACAUUUUUAAAAGCCAGCUUAAGGGUCACAGCAGCCUUAGUUUAGGAGAAGAGCUAAUCACAGGUGACCACUCAAGUUCUUUCAAUGAAGACCUGAUGAUGUAUUUAGUUCCCAUUUUCCACGGUGAUUGACUCAAUUUAAGUGUAUUGUGGCUAUAUGUAAUUUACAGGCUGCUUUGCGUUGCAGGUGGGAAAAUCUCCCAGGCUGGUGUGAGGCUGAACUGGGGUAAAAGACCCCCUGACCCCUCCUCAUUCUUCUAAGGUCACCACCUCUUAGAGGGUCUCUUAUUUUCUUUCAGAGAUCAAAUGCACAGUUAUGCUGUACAACUAAAUUCUGCAGUCUUGGGAAUCCUUACGAGUACCAACUAUUAGUCACUUUUUAAAGUCCCCAAAGUGGAGUGAGGAUAGGGGGAGUGGAAGCAGUGUUUGGUUCUUACUUUACCCAAACUGUGUAUAAAGAAUAAAGUUAGCAGAAUGAUGCCACAGUCA
rnacentral:lncRNA from 1 species